rnacentral:rRNA from 1 species
UUAUGACUCAGGAUGAACGCUAGCUACAGGCUUAACACAUGCAAGUCGAGGGGCAGCAUUGGAGUAGCAAUACUCAGAUGGCGACCGGCGCACGGGUGAGUAACACGUAUCCAACCUGCCGCUUACUCGGGGAUAGCCUUUCGAAAGAAAGAUUAAUACCCGAUGGUAUAAAGAGUUCGCAUGUUCUCUUUAUUAAAGAAUUUCGGUAAGCGAUGGGGAUGCGUUCCAUUAGAUAGUUGGCGGGGUAACGGCCCACCAAGUCUACGAUGGAUAGGGGUUCUGAGAGGAAGGUCCCCCACAUUGGAACUGAGACACGGUCCAAACUCCUACGGGAGGCAGCAGUGAGGAAUAUUGGUCAAUGGACGAGAGUCUGAACCAGCCAAAAGUAGCGUGAAGGAUGACUGCCCUAUGGGUUGUAAACUUCUUUUAUAAGGGAAUAAAGUGAGGGACGUGUCCCUUUUUGUAUGUACCUUAUGAAUAAGGAUCGGCUAACUCCGUGCCAGCCGCCGC